rnacentral:rRNA from 1 species
GGGUUGUGAGGUUAAGCGACUAAGCGUACACGGUGGAUGCCCUGGCAGUCAGAGGCGAUGAAGGACGUGCUAAUCUGCGAAAAGCGUCGGUAAGGUGAUAUGAACCGUUACAGCCGGCGAUGUCCGAAUGGGGAAACCCAGUGCAAUUCGUUGCACUAUCGUUAACUGAAUACAUAGGUUAACGAGGCGAACCGGGGGAACUGAAACAUCUAAGUACCCCGAGGAAAAGAAAUCAACCGAGAUUCCCCCAGUAGCGGCGAGCGAACGGGGAGCAGCCCAGAGUCUGAAUCAGCUUGUGUGUUAGUGGAACGGUCUGGAAAGUCCGACGGUACAGGGUGAUAGUCCCGUACACCAAAAUGCACAGGUUGUGAACUCGAAGAGUAGGGCGGGACACGUGGUAUCCUGUCUGAAUAUGGGGGGACCAUCCUCCAAGGCUAAAUACUCCUGACUGACCGAUAGUGAACCAGUACCGUGAGGGAAAGGCGAAAAGAACCCCGGCGAGGGGAGUGAAAAAGAACCUGAAACCGUGUACGUACAAGCAGUGGGAGCACCUUUAUGGUGUGACUGCGUACCUUUUGUAUAAUGGGUCAGCGACUUAUAUUCUGUAGCAAGGUUAACCGUAUAGGGGAGCCGCAGGGAAACCGAGUCUUAACUGGGCGUUAAGUUGCAGGGUAUAGACCCGAAACCCGGUGAUCUAGCCAUGGGCAGGUUGAAGGUUGGGUAACACUAACUGGAGGACCGAACCGACUAAUGUUGAAAAAUUAGCGGAUGACUUGUGGCUGGGGGUGAAAGGCCAAUCAAACCGGGAGAUAGCUGGUUCUCCCCGAAAGCUAUUUAGGUAGCGCCUCGUGAACUCAUCUUCGGGGGUAGAGCACUGUUUCGGCUAGGGGGUCAUCCCGACUUACCAACCCGAUGCAAACUACGAAUACCGAAGAAUGUUAUCACGGGAGACACACGGCGGGUGCUAACGUCCGUCGUGAAGAGGGAAACAACCCAGACCGCCAGCUAAGGUCCCAAAGUCACAGUUAAGUGGGAAACGAUGUGGGAAGGCACAGACAGCCAGGAUGUUGGCUUAGAAGCAGCCAUCAUUUAAAGAAAGCGUAAUAGCUCACUGGUCGAGUCGGCCUGCGCGGAAGAUGUAACGGGGCUAAACUGUGCACCGAAGCUGCGGCAGCGACA